rnacentral:rRNA from 1 species
GAGCAGUAAGUGCCCGCUGCAGAGAUGAUAGGGAGGUUGCAAGCGUUAAUAGGGAGUACUAGGGGGAAAGCGUGUGCAUGCGGUUGUAUAAGAGAGAGGGGAGAACCCAGGGCGCAAGCAGGGAAAUGGAUUUGUGAGUGGAGGGCUAGAGUACGGCAGAGGGGGAUGGAAUGCCGCGGGUAGCAGUGAAAUGCGUAGAUAUGCGGAGUAACACCGAUGGCGAAGGCAAUCCCCUGGGCCUGUACUGACGCUCAUGCACGAAAGCGUGGGGAGCAAACAGGAUUAGAUACCCCAGUAGUC